GCGGAUGUGUGAACCGUAGUAAACCCUGGCGAACUAACCAAAUCUCACUCGUAAGGAGCAGGUCAGCGGUUCGAGUCCGCUCGUCGGCU
rnacentral:tRNA from 1 species